AUUAUUUGAAAUGUUUGGUUGCUUUCACAAUGGUUUUAAAGUAGCACAUUGAACAACUACAAGUGAAAAUCUACCAGAGGCUAGAGGCAUUAACAAUUCUAAUUGAAAUUUUCCAAUUCAUUCUUUUGCUUCUAUGUUCAAGUAUUUGGGAAAAAAUAUAGUCAUUUCAAUUCUUCAUCAGUGUGAGUCACAUUCAUUCCUGCGCAAGCUAAGAUUGGUAAUUUAUUCGAACAACUGUGACUUACAUAUUGGAAGUUUGUUAUGGAACGAUGGAUAUCUUUUAAGUAUGCUCUUGUUCUUGGAAAUCAUACCUUACAACUAUUUGUUAUUUGUUGUCAAUGUAGAAAACCUUUUUCUUUUCUCCGUUCAAUUGGAUUUGCAGCCGGUACUUCUGUCUGUGCCAAGUAACAAGUCCUCGCAUCCUACAUUUUAUCUUUGUGCUUGUGCCUUUUUGUGACUUGAAUUACAUUACUCUCUUUGUUGUUAAGCUUGCUCAUCUUUGUUUAAGCACACUAUUUGAUCACUUAAUCUCAUAUUCAUGAUGUCUCUACUACUCUCUGCUACAAUGUUAAAUCUAUAUACUAUGUUAUAAUGGCAGGGAUACGUGGGAUCUAAUAAGAAAAGAAAUAGAGUUCUUCAUUCAGUACUGAAGUCCACUAUAUAGACAUGUUUCAUCCACACACAAACUCUCUUAUGUACAACAAGGUUGCUUCAAAACAAAAAACCAUCUACAAAAAAUAGUGAAGUUAGAUCUGCUUUUCGAAUUUCGUCAACACUUCAAUUAGGACCCCAAUAGCUCAAAUACAUCACUGUCCAGAGAGAUUCCUCAGCCUGUUUGUAUCUGUUAUCAUUGCUAUCCUUAUCAGCUUUGUUAUAGGCCAAUUGAUUAUAAGCACCGACAUUUGUUCUCACCUGCUUAGAAGAUCCAGAAGGGAAGGCAGAAGUAGAAGCAGAGUCAUGACUUGCUUUCAUGGCUAAGUCACACUUCGGAGACUUCUCUUUGAUUCUCUGCAUCACUGGUAAAAACACCCUGCUCAUGCUCUUUGAUAUCGUUCAAAACCAAUAAGACUACGUAGUCUCUUGAAAGAGAGUUGAAAGAUGGCUUCAAAAUAUAAGAGGUUUGGUGGUUUGUGGCCCUCAAGUUUUAGGAAGGUGGGGGCUGAAUUUGGCUUGAAGUUAUAUUUAUAUAUAGACGACAUAGAAAAGACAAAGAUGGAUCCAACAUUUAAAAAAUGCUCCACCCGUUGAAUGAAAUCUAGUGUAGAUUUGAUUGAUGUCUAUUCCAUCCUAUGGUUCAAUGCCUUCAAAUUAAUGGUUAUGAUUGAAGAACCACUUGGCCUCAUGAACAUAUUUCAUAUUUUAGCGCAUAAAAACAGUAACAAUGUUGGAGUUAAGCCAAAAACAUAGUAAAAAAUAAUUGCCACUCAAUUAAACUGUAUCAUGAUUUAAGGCAUGUUUUGCUAAUAUUUGUUUACACUAAUAAAUUAAUAUAACCAAUAUUUGUUUACACACAUAAAUGUUAUGUCCAGGUUCCAGUGGAUCUUGUCAUUGACAAUUCUGUUCAGGUUGAUGUGGCAGGAAGUGAAUGCAAUGCAGGCAAAUAUGGGGCUUGAAUUUCAGAGAAACAAGGAGAGGAGUUGUUGGCUGGGGAGUUGGAGGAAUUGAAUCUGAGGCUACAAUGCUUCGCUAGGUAUUUUGAGAUAAUAAUGUAUUUUCUUUAUGAUUUUCUAUACGCUUGUGCCAAUUGUUAGUGUUUGCAGUUAUUCUUUGGUAGAUAGACAUGCAUGAAAUGGGUAGCUGUUUUUUCUUCUUUUUCCUCCAAAGGUGCAAAAGAAAAUGCAGCUUCUGCUUCUUCAAAACCUGCUGCUGGUGCUGGUGAUAGUAACUGCAAUGUAUCCCCCCCUCCCAAAAAAAGAGUCAGAAUUUUUUUGGAGAGAUGCAAAAUAUGGUCCAAGAAUUAAAGAACUU